rnacentral:rRNA from 1 species
UACAGAGGGUGCGAGCGUUAAUCGGAAUUACUGGGCGUAAAGCGUGCGUAGACGGUUUCGUAAGUCGGGUGUGAAAUCCCCGGGCUCAACCUGGGAAUUGCAUUCGAAACUGCGAGGCUAGGGUACGGAAGAGGGAAGCGGAAUUUCUGGUGUAGCGGUGAAAUGCGUAGAUAUCAGAAGGAACAUCAGUGGCGAAGGCGGGUCUCUGGACAGUUCCUGACACUGAGGCACGAAGGCCAGGGGAGCAAACGGG